rnacentral:rRNA from 1 species
AAUGAACGCUGGCGGCAUGCCUAACACAUGCAAGUCGAGCGGCAGGACGAGAAGAUCGCUUCUCUGAUGUUAGCGGCGGGCGGGUGAGUAACACGUGGAUAACCUACCUAUAGGCCUGGGACACCUACGGAAAUCCGAAUACAUUACAGGUUCUUAUUUUGAACGCGUGGGAUCACAAGAGAAAGCGGGAUUGGCGUGUCCUAUGCGAGAUUAGCUAGUUGGUUUGGUAACGGCUUACCAAGGCAACGAUCCGUAGCUGGUCUGAGAGGAUGAUCAGCCACACUGGAACUGAGACACGGUCCAGACUCCUACGGGAGGCAGCAGUAGGGAAUCUUGGACAAUGGGCGAAAGCCUGAUGCAGCAAUGCCGCGUGAGUGAUGAAGGUCUUCGGAUCGUAAAACUCUGUUGGUAGGGAAGAAAAGAUGUGUAAGUAAAUGUGCAGAUCUUGACGGUACCUAAACAGAAAGCCACGGCUAACUACGUG